rnacentral:SRP_RNA from 2 species
GCCAGGCAUGGUGGAUCAUGCCUGUAGUCCCAGUUAUCAGGAGGCUGAGGCAGGAGGAUCACUUGAGCCCAGGAGUUGGAGGCUGCACUGAGCUUUGACUGUGCCACUGCACUCCAGCCUGGGCAAUGGAGUGAGACCCUGUCUCUU